AUUGAACGCUGGCGGCAGGCCUAACACAUGCAAGUCGAACGAGUGGCGGACGGGUGAGUAAUGUCUGGGAAACUGCCUGAUGGAGGGGGAUAACUACUGGAAACGGUAGCUAAUACCGCAUACCAUCAAAUGUGCCCAGAUGGGAUUAGCUUGUUGGUGGGGGAACGGCCCACCAAGGCGACGAUCCCUAGCUGGUCUGAGAGGAUGACCAGCGACAGUGGAGCUGAGGCACGGUCCAGACCCCUACGGGACCCACCAGUGGGAAAGAUUGCACAAUGGCGUCAAGCUUGAUGCAGCCAUGCCCGGUGUAUGAAGAUGGCCUUCGGGUUGUAAAGUACUCUCAGCGGUGAGGCUUUAACCGCAGAAGAGACACCGGCUAACGCCGUGACAGCAGCCGCGGUAAUAC
rnacentral:rRNA from 1 species